rnacentral:rRNA from 1 species
UAUCACUAAGGGGAGGAAAAGAAACUAACAAGGAUUCCCCCAGUAACGGCGAGUGAAGCGGGAAGAGCCCAGCACCGAAUCCCUCGGCCCCGCUGYCGACGGGAACUGUGGUGUUCGAGACGUGAGUUGUCGACCUCGCGCAUCGCCCAAGUCCUCUCGAUUGGGGCCUUUCCCAGAGUGGGUGUCAGGCCUUUACCGGCGCCAUGUGCGGGUCGGCUCCGAUCGUCUCAAGAGUCGGGUUGUUUGGGAAUGCAGCCCAAAGCGGGUGGUAAACUCC